rnacentral:rRNA from 1 species
CCAAUAGCGUAUAUUAAAGUUGUUGCAGUUAAAAAGCUCGUAGUUGAAUUUCGGGAUCAGUACGCUGGUCGUGCCUUCGGUAUGUACUGGUGUUACUGGUUCCUACCUUCUGACGAACCGUCAUGUCAUUACUUUGGUGUGGCGGGGAAUCAGGACUGUUACUUUGAAAGAAUUAGAGUGUUUAAAGCAGGCUCGCGCUUGAAUACAUUAGCAUGGAAUAAUGAAAUAGGACGUUUGAUCCUAUUUUGUUGGUUUCUAGGAUUGACGUAAUGAUUAAUAGGGAUAGUUGGGUGCAUUAGUAUUCAAUUGUCAGAGGUGAAAUUCUUGGAUUUAUUGAAGACUAACUACUGCGAAAGCAUUUGCCAAGGAUGUUUCCAUUAAUCAAGAACGAAAGUUAGGGGAUCGAAGACGAUCAGAUACCGUCGUAGUCUUAACCAUAAACUAUGCCGACUAGGGAUCGGAUGAUGUUAAUUUUUUAAUGACUCAUUCGGCGCCUUACG